rnacentral:misc_RNA from 1 species
UUGAUUUUUUGGCUUUUGCUGUCCAUUCUAAUGUCUUAGUAAUUCGUAAAAGCUAAUUUUCUUUUUUUCCCCAUAGAUACUGAAUUUUAGUUCACUGUUUACUAUUAAUUUCAUACUUGUUGAAAAUAGGUUGGUUGCUAGUAUUACUUCAUCCUUGUUCAUGUUUAUUAACUCUUAUAUUUAGCUUUUCUUGUAUGUUAAAUUAGUUGAUCUAUUUGUCAUAUUCAUAUGAACAGUAAUUUAGGAUUUCAUUAUGGUAAAUACUUUUAAGUUAUGCAUCCUGUUUACACCUGGUUGUAAUGAUUCUUGUCUUCUGUUCCUUAGCCUUUUUGUUGUUCCAUGCUUAGCUUUCUUUAUCACUCAUGUGUCUUAUAUCAAGAAUGCUAUCUGAAAUAUGGAGUUUAGUUUUACCAGUUUUAAGGUUUUCAUCUUCUUAUUUUUUUGUUCUUUGAAACUCUUUAUUCGUUGCAGAAAUUCCUUCUAUGUCGCAUACUUUUGUAAAAUUUGUUGGUGUGAUUUGUCAAAUAACAGACCAUUGGCUCUCAAUGCCAAUCGAGAGCCUGUUUGAAUGAG